ACGGGGGGAGCAAGCGUUGUUCGGAUUCAUUGGGCGUAAAGGGCGCGUAGGCGGCCUUGUAAGUCCGACAUGAAAUGUACCGGUUCAACCGGGGCACUGUGUCGGAAACUGCUCGGCUAGAGGUCGAGGGAGGAAAGUGGAAUUCCUGGUGUAGCGGUGAAAUGCGUAGAUAUCAGGAGGAACACCCGUGGCGAAGGCGGCUUUCUAUCUCGAAACUGACGCUGAGGCGCGAAAGCUAGGGGAGCAAACGGGAUUAGAUACCCCGGUAGUCCUAGCCGUAAACGAUGAACACUAGGUGUGGGAGGUAUCGACCCCUUCCGUGCCGCAGCUAACGCAUUAAGUGUUCCGCCUGGGGAGUACGGCCGCAAGGUUG
rnacentral:rRNA from 1 species